rnacentral:lncRNA from 1 species
CUCCAUUUUUUUCCUCAAUUGGUCACUUCUCACUUGAUCUGUGAAUAAAAUCGUCAUUUAGUGGCUAUCAAUCAAAUAUUUUUGUUUGGCGCCAUGGACAGAACUCUGAAUCCCAAAAUAAAGGAAAAUGAUUGAUGUAUUGUCAAUUUUGUUUAUUUCCUGCUUAAUCCAUGUAAUGUUUCAAAAUUUUGGGAAUUUAGAGGAACUGCCUGUCGAUCGCCCCAAAUUCUGACAAAUUUAAGUUUUUUAUAUGCAAUGUGUUGCACAAAACUUAAUAGGUUUAUUUUUAAUUUGUUUUGCUGUUCAUUUUGUUGUCCCUUUUUGGUUUGGUUAUUUAGCCUCACAGAAAACCUGAAUUAGAAUUUUGCUUAAUUAGUGAAGCUCAUUUUCUGAAAGGAAGCCCAGCGAGGAUGGUCCUAUGGUAAGAUAACAGUUGGAAUAGGAUAGGUGUUAAAGUUUACUGCUUGGAGCCAUUAGUGUUUUAUUUGUAUACAUAAGUAUCUCACAAGGGGCAUUACAGUUACCCAGACCACUUUAUCUCAAUAAAGUGGUAUGGGUACAGUGGCUCUGUCCUUUUAACCCUGCAAUGUAAAACAAUGUAGUUUUUCUAUCAAUUGUGAUGUUUACAUUGCAAGAUUAAAUCCAUGUUUAGUGGCUGUCAUACUGAUCAGUUUUUGUGACGCUGAUAUGGUUUCACAAAAAUCAUGCCUGCACCUCCACUCAGGUGCAUCUCAAGAGCUACAAAAGUGACCUCCCAUAUUACCCUAUCCAAUAGCAAGCAAUUAUGAUAGGCUGAUAUAUGCCAUCAAGAAUGGAUGGGGAAAUGCAUAAGUUCACAUCCAUGUUAACUCAGUUGCAGCAAGCCAUACUUUGGGUGCUAUAAGAGCCAUAAUUUUUGUUAAAUCACUUGAAAAUGAAAUUCACUAUGGUGACGGCAAACAAAGACUCUUUGGUCUAUAACCACUACUGUGAUAAUGAUUGUUGACCGUAACUGUCAACACCAUACCCACCCAAAGAUUGCAAUGGGUACUUAACAUGGUUGGAGGAAGAGACAGGAGUAAUCAUUAGUAAAUGAUGGUUGCUUUGCAAGAUAUCACAAAAUGUCAGUGAAUAAAAAACCACAAACAUUGACUUAAUUUUUACUUAUAAUAUUUACCUAAUCAUGUCAGCAUUCCGGCGGGUAUCCUCAUCUAUAACUGUUUAAUGUAUGUAACUGUAAAUCAUCUGGUGUUAAUAUAUACUGUUCCAUGUGUCCAUUAUUCCAUUAUUACAAACGUGAAUAUAUUUUAGUCUGGUCAAAUCUGUCUUAUGUUUGUUCUUGAAUUGUUAAUAUGAGUUAAUGUGGCAUCUAUGUUGCAAGCACUAUUACCGAAUACCUACCCCUGACUGAAAAGCAGAAUCUUGUAGAGAACAAAGAUAUGAUUAAUGAAUUCCUGCUGGCAAACCAUUCUAUAUAUAUUAUGAAAUUCUAAUUAGGGGCUGCUUCAUGUCUAGUACAUAAACAUUACAAAACAUUACAGUGGAAUCAUUGCAAUUACUAAAAUGGGUGUAGAACUUGACUGUUGUAUAUUUUGUGUUAGAUAAUGACUUGAAUAUUCCACGUUAGCUUUCAAUGUAGAUUGUCGAAUAAAUAAUAAACUAGGCUGUAAAUCAGAGCAAAUUAUACCAUUAUGGGAACACUACAGUGUUUGUGUUUGAGUAGUUGGUAACGGCAUUUGGGUUUAAUCACUAAACAGUAAGUUGUGAUGAGAUGGAAACUAACAAGCACAAAAAUUGAGUACACUGAUAUAAAAAUAGUCUAGUUAAAAAAAAAAUGCAGUGUUGGCCUAGAUGUUGGAUAUAUCUCUGUUAUCAGUGUAUUCAAUAUGACUUACAGUAUUUAUCAUGUAUUUAUGUACAAUAUAAUAGUUUAGUGCCUCUAGUGAGCUCUAUUAGAAACGAGGGAGGCAGCCAUCUUGACGAGGGCUCCAAAAAGGCGACAGCUUUUAUUGAAGAUUAAUUGGUGCCUUACUGCAUAUGGUAUUACCUAAAUUUGAAAAACAGAAUGAUUAGUACUUAAUGCAACUCCAAAGCAAUUCUAACACGUCUCAUUUUGGCAGAUACUAAACACAUGCCAAAAAUGUAUGUUCUUUUAAAAUCACAGAGUUGUUUUUUAAUAGAUGUGCAUUGGUUAUAUUUUGAAUUGUAAUCUAUCAUUAUAUGUUGGAAUAAUAACAUAAUUAUACUUCAGUUAAAAGACAUAAGAGGAAAUCCUAUAUAGAGGUGCUGUUCAUGCAUAUAAACAGGUAACACAGAAUUAUUGUUCAUUAACAUAAACAUGUACACAAUAUAAAUUAAGAGUGUAAUGUAACAAGCAAUAAUCUAUUAAUUAUCCACAGAAUUCUGUGUGCUCAUUGUAAUAAAGAGGAAGAGCAGAGAAGGGGAGAAUAUUACAAUAAUAUCACACCCACGCACACACAAGUCUCGACACAAUACCAUAGAAACUUUGGAUUAAGAAAUGCGCUGUGGAAGAUUCUCAUAAGAUUGUGUUUUAUUGAUGGCUGAAUUAAUUCUAUUUGUCCAAGAAAAUCAAUGUUGCCCCGCCUGUUAAUCAAAGGGUCAGGUACCAUCAGUACUACGGCUUCCAUGGUAUAAGAUCAUUUUUCCAUAUUAACUUGAAAUGUCAGUCAUUUGUUAGCGUGAUGGAAAUUAAUGUUUAUUGUGCAUAGCUGCAAUAUGUUUCAAGUGUCUGCUGGUGUUUACCUUCAAAUUGAUGUUACAAGAACCAGGGAAUGUUUCUUGGAUGUCGCUGUCCUUUUACAUGAAAGCUUUGGGUGGGGACUAUAGAAGGUCCAUCAACAGCAGAAGUACUAUAGAGUAAGAAUAUCUCCUAUAGAUUUGAAGCCAAUUAGUCUGGGUCAAGUAAAAAAAAAUGCCUGCAUUGUGUAUAUUCUGUUCAUAAAAUGGAAAAAGUACGUUUUGGAAUAUUUACAAAUGGAUAUCCAGUAUUGUAUUUCCCUUUUAAGUGUUAUUGUGUCUGUGUAUAUAGAGAACCUGUAUGCUGCGUCAGUUCAGUCUUACAGUAUAUUUAUGUAUAAAUAAACUCAGAGUAUUUUCUGUUUUAAGCAGUAAAUAUAUAUUAUGACAUACUAUAUAUGUCACAUUUAUUGUGAACAUGGAAUCCUACAUGUAAACCUAUUUGUCAUUUUGUGGAGAGGAAAAUGUGUUGCGAGCCUGCC